rnacentral:lncRNA from 1 species
CAAAGACUCAAGAUAUUCUUUCACUGCAACUUCUCAUUAUUGGAAUUGAGUCUGUCCUUGUUUUUCUAGUGUCUUCGGAGAAGUGCUACUCUAAAUAAAAGGAUUUUCCAAGUCACCAAAAAGUGUACUCCUUCAAGCACAAAAGGUUUUCAUCACUUUUAGAUAUCUUGGAUCCUGGAAGUCUUUGUAAAAUCGCUGUGCCUUGUUUUAUAAAACAGCAAACGCAUAAGAUAAUGAGGGUCUGCUUUUCUGUGUGUGUUCCUAUCUCCAGGCUGGUGGUAAUAUGGCUGGCAGAGUUCCACACCUUACAUUCAUAUACCGUGAUAUCCAGGGUAUUCUCACAAAAAGCCAGGGAAAUCCUUG